rnacentral:rRNA from 1 species
AGCGAACGCUGGCGGCAGGCUUAACACAUGCAAGUCGAGCGGGCCCUUCGGGGUCAGCGGCGGACGGGUGAGUAACGCGUGGGAACGUGCCUUCUGGUUCGGAAUAACUCAGGGAAACUUGAGCUAAUACCGGAUACGCCCUUUUGGGGAAAGGUUUACUGCCGGAAGAUCGGCCCGCGUCUGAUUAGCUAGUUGGUGGGGUAACGGCCUACCAAGGCGACGAUCAGUAGCUGGUCUGAGAGGAUGAUCAGCCACACUGGGACUGGGACACGGCCCAGACUCCUACGGAGGGCAGCAGUGGGGAUUAUGGAACAAUGGGCGCAAGCCUAAUCCAGCCGUGCCGGGUAGUUAAUAAGGCCUUAGGGUUGUAAAGCUCUUUUAUCCGGGACGAUAAUGACGGUACCGGAGGAAUAAGCCCCGGCUAACUUCGUG